GCACAAGCAGCGGAGCGUGUGGUUUAAUUCGAUGUUACACGAAGAACCUUACCUGGGUUUGACAUAUAGGUUGUAGGGAACUGAAAAGGGACCGACCUUCGGGAGCCUAUACAGGUGUUGCAUGGCUGUCGUCAGCUCGUGUCGUGAGAUGUUCGGUUAAGUCCGCUAACGAGCGCAACCCUCGUCGUAUGUUAUAUGUGUCAUACGAGACUGCCGGUAAAAAGCCGGAGGAAGGUGAGGAUGAUGUCAAGUCAGCAUGACCUUUAUAUCCAGGGCUACACACACGCUACAAUGGUCUGUACAAUGGGUAGCCAAGCCGCGAGGCGGAGCCAAUCCAUAAAGUUGGCCUCAGUUCAGAUUGUAGGCUGCAACCCACCUGCAUGAAGAUGGAGUUGCUAGUAACCGCAGGUCAGCUAUACUGCGGUGAAUACGUUCCCGGGGCUU
rnacentral:rRNA from 1 species